UACGAAGGGGGCUAGCGUUGUUCGGAAUUAUUGGGCGUAAAGAGCUCGUAGGCGGCUUGUCGCGUCGACUGUGAAAACCCGUGGCUCAACCAUGUGGUCUGCAGUCGAUACGGGCAGGCUAGAAUUCGGUAGGGGAGACUGGAAUUCCUGGUGUAGCGGUGAAAUGCGCAGAUAUCAGGAGGAACACCGGUGGCGAAGGCGGGUCUCUGGGCCGAUAUUGACGCUGAGGAGCGGAAAGCGUGGGGAGCGAACAGG
rnacentral:rRNA from 1 species